GAUUGGGGAGUUAGUGAUUCUGGCGGUUGGGAGUGGAAGACAGGAAGGGUCAAUUAUUAAAUGAAGCAGAAAAGUUCGUAGCUCCAGAAAAUAAGAUGCUCCUCUUUAGUAAUCAGACAACAGCAAAAGCAGAAAAACAACCCGCACGUUUCUUUCUUUCUUUUUUUCCUACAGAAAAGACUGACACGGCCAAGUGUGUGUUUGGGAAGGGGGUAGGUGAGGGAGUAGAGGGCGGGCCCACAUCUGCCGCGCUUUUUGUGGGAGUGGUGGAGAUCGGGGACCCGAGCUCACUGGUGACGUAGAUCUCAUGUGACCAGGAGUCGACGUGUGCAGAAAUCCUGCUAGUCUGGUCCUUGUUUCCAUCUGGGUACCAGCUUCCUUCAGCCUCGCAGUCGCGGUUUAAGAAGCCAGCGGAAGGAGGGGACAGCUUGCUUGAAAAUUCUCCAGGUUUGUUCUUUGUACCGCUCCAGGCUAAAAUAAGUGGGAGAAAGAAACUGACCAGAUCAGUACCUG